rnacentral:rRNA from 1 species
GACGAACGCUGGCGGCGUGCUUAACACAUGCAAGUCGAACGGGAUCCAUGGAGUAGCAAUACUCUGGAAGAUCUAGUGGCGAACGGGUGAGUAACACGUGAGCAACCUGCCCCAAAGACUGGGAUAACCCCGGGAAACCGGAGCUAAUACCGGAUGUCCUCAUUAGAUCGCAUGGUCAUAUGAGGAAAUGAAUUUUCGCUUUGGGAGGGGCUCGCGGCUAUCAGUUUGGGUGGGUAAUGGCCUACCAAGACAUCGACGGCUAGCUGGUCUGAGAGGACGAUCAGCCACACUGGGACUGAGACACGGCCCAGACUACC